rnacentral:lncRNA from 1 species
UUUUUAUUAUGUCAUUUCCAUUUGUAUUUUCGAAUUUUGUAUUUUGACCAUGGGUUGUACUAUUGGGGUGUUUUGUCCCCCACGAACAAAUUUUUAUUUUUCAGUUAAUGUUAUUUAAUUAUGUUUUUAAUUUUGUGUGUUUAAUAAAUUUUUGGUUGAAUGAGUGGCAAACCCUUCUAGAUUGGUUGCUCCUCAAGAAGUACCCAAUGAAGGUGCAUCCGAGCUUGGAUGGCAAUGAUAAGAAUAACAAGUGAAUGAAGCUAAGGUACAUGGUUACCGUCGGCUAGAAUUUUAGAAUGCAUUAGGAACUUUACUCUUU